GACUCAACUCAGGAUGCAAAUAUUUUAAC
rnacentral:sRNA from 1 species